rnacentral:rRNA from 1 species
AUUUUAUGUACGGCUGUUAGGCUUUAAUUUAAUUAUUUUUGCUUUAAGAUUUAAUUCCUUAAUUCAGGUCUAUGUGUAGAAUAUAAAUUGGUUUUUAAUGAGUUACUAUAAUAGGGGAAUUUUUUUAUAUAAAUAAUUUAAUUUGGAUGUGAAAGUAGAAUAGAUAUUAAAAUUUCUAUUUGAAGAAGGACCUAAUAAAAGUACAUAUCGCCCGUCACUCUUUUGAUAGAUAAGUCGUAACAAAGUAGGAGUACUGGAAAGUGCUUCUUGUUU